rnacentral:rRNA from 1 species
AUGCAUAGGGAAGCAACAAUGGAGCCUGUCAGUGGUAGUCCAUGGGUGUCAGUUCCACGAAACCGACUGCUUCCGAUCCGCAUGUCAACAGAACAUGCCGGCACUGAGUGGACGCCGGAGAACCCCGCGGAGGAGCCCGUGAGCCCUACAGCAAGAGCCAUGGAAGAUAUAGGUAUUUAUAUCGUCGUCACCAUCGGCCUUGACACGCCCAUAAACCUGAGCAUCUUCCGAGCCGGCAUCGAAUCUCUGCUUGCCCGAUGCCCGCGCUUGGGAUGCAUUCAAGUGGCGGACGGGUCAAGCAAUGGAGGGGCGCGAUGGGCGCGCACGGCUGUGAACGCCGAGGAUCAUAUGAUCGUCCCCAGGCUGGAUGGCGCGGCCGUGGCCGCCUACCCAGACAAGGCCGUGGAGGACUACGUCGCCUCGCUGCCCACGCUGCCCAUGGACCGCUCCCGCGCGCUUCUGGAGUUCCAUCUCCUCGACUUCCCGACCUCCGAGGCGACCUCCACCGUGGCGGUCCGGGUGCACCACGCCUACGGCGACGGCAUGUCUCUAAUGGCGCUUCUCAUGAUGUCCACACGCAGCGGCGCCGCCGACACCAAGUGCCAGCCAGCGACGCCCACGCCCACGCCUCCGCCUCGUCGUCCUACGCGCGCGGGCGCCAUCUACGCGUCGCAGCGCCGGCCCCCGCUUUCUGCGGGCGCCCUGCCGCUCGUCGCGUGGGUCUGGUCGUACCUUGUGGUCGCGUGGAACACCGCGGCGGACCUUGCCUACUUCGCCGCCACGAUUCUGUUCUUGAGUGACCCGCGCACGCUGUUCAAGCGUGCCGACGAUGACGAGUUCCACGCCAAGCGCUUCGUCCACCGGAGUCUUAGUCUGGAUGACGUCAAGUUCCUCAAGAGCUCCAUGAACUGCACUGUCAAUGAUGUGCUGGUUGCAGUGACUUCUGCUGCUCUAUCAAGAUAUUACUUCCGCAAGUCCGGUGACACUAACACUAGCAAAAUCUGUUUGCGAUCACUCCUUCCUGUCAACACAAGGCCAGCCACUAGCCUACAGACAUAUGUUAACGUGAUAGAAUCUGAUAAGAGGAACGAGGUGACAUGGGGAAAUAAACUGGGCUACAUUAUUCUUCCAUUUUAUCUGGCCAUGCACGAAGAUCCACUUGCAUAUAUUCGCAAGGCAAAGAAGGUUCUUGAUAGGAAAAAGAGGUCACUCGAAGUGAUAUUGACAUAUAAGAUUGGUCUGAUUUUCACGAAAAAAUUUGGUGUCAAGGUAGGAACUUCAAUCUUUCGGUGUCUGUUCGCACGUACAACAAUAGUUUUCUCAAACAUGGUUGGACCAGCUGAACAAGUAGAGUUAUGUGGACACCCAGUGGCUUUCCUUGCGCCUAGUGUCUAUGGGAUUCCAGAGGCUCUGAUUAUUCACUACCAAAGCUACAGAAGCACUAUCAAGAUAAUUCUAUCAGUAGACGAGGACAAGUUUUCAGAUUGUCAUCAACUUUUGGAUGACUUUGACCAGACCCUCACGGUCAUGAAGGACGCGGCUUCAAUACUUUCAACGUCAACUAAGAAUGACUAA